UCUAAUAGUACAGGGUGAGUCCAGAAGGUACACAGGACUGCACAGAGGGUGGAGAGAAGUUGUUUCUUUAGAUCUUUAGAACAAAGAAACCAUGGCCACAGUGCAUAGUCACACGGUCUAAGGACAGGGAUCUGCAUUGAAGUUGCAAAUAAGAACAGUUAUGGACUAAGGCUGUCUUGCCUUAAGACAAUUUGGGAGGAAGAAACAUAAUUUCAGUGACCUCCACAGCCCUGGCUGAGCAUGGGGAUCAUCCAGGAAGCUCAAGAGAAAACACUCCACUGGAGACCAAGUGAAUUUGGAUCUUUGGGUGCUUGUGUUUUUAAUCUCCCCCAGGCAUGCAAAUAUAUCACUGGGAUGUUAACAAGCCUCAUCUCUCCUCCAAUACUGCAUGCCCCACUUUUCAAUCCUAGAUAUUUUUUUCUUUCCUUUAAACCUCCUGGAGGAAAACAUAUCACAUUGUCACCAGUCAAAGGAACCUGGGAUCCAGAAGGAAUUACCAAGCAGAGCAGAGCCCCUCUCACCGGGGAAGGGCUAGGACAUUUCAGAAGUGGAAAACCCUCAACCAUUCAUAUGCCCUGGGUGGCUCAGGCUGUUUCCUGGAAUGGAAAGCCCUCCUGCCUCACUCGCUACAGACACACUAUAUAGACUCUGGGAUACCAACUGUCAACCCACUGUAUCAAUGAACAAAUAAAUAGGCCUGUCUCUGAUCCAAAGAGAAGGCGUAU